CAAGGCUUGUAAUGGGUGUUGU
rnacentral:siRNA from 1 species